rnacentral:rRNA from 1 species
AGUGAACGCUGGCGGUAGGCCUAACACAUGCAAGUCGAACGGCAGCACAGUAAGAGCUUGCUCUUACGGGUGGCGAGUGGCGGACGGGUGAGGAAUACAUCGGAAUCUACUUUUUCGUGGGGGAUAACGUAGGGAAACUUACGCUAAUACAGCAUACGACCUACGGGUGAAAGCAGGGGAUCUUCGGACCUUGCGCGAUUGAAUGAGCCGAUGUCGGAUUAGCUAGUUGGCGGGGUAAAGGCCCACCCAGGCGACGAUCCGUAGCUGGUCGGAGAGGAUGAUCAGCCACACUGGAAGUGAGACACGGUCCAGACUCCUACGGGAGGCAGCAGUGGGGAAUAUUGGACAAUGGGCGCAAGCCUGAUCCAGCCAUACCGCGUGGGUGAAGAAGGCCUUCGGGUCGUAAAGCCCUUUUGUUGGGAAAGAAAAGCAGCAGGUUAAUACCCCGCUGUUCUGACGGUACCCAAAGAAUAAGCACCGGCUAACUUCGUG